AGUGAACGCUGGCGGUAGGCCUAACACAUGCAAGUCGAACGGCAGCACAGUAAGAGCUUGCUCUUACGGGUGGCGAGUGGCGGACGGGUGAGGAAUACAUCGGAAUCUACUUUUUCGUGGGGGAUAACGUAGGGAAACUUACGCUAAUACCGCAUACGACCUACGGGUGAAAGCAGGGGAUCUUCGGACCUUGCGCGAUUGAAUGAGCCGAUGUCGGAUUAGCUAGUUGGCGGGGUAAAGGCCCACCAAGGCGACGAUCCGUAGCUGGACUGAGAGGAUGAUCAGCCACACUGGAACUGAGACACGGUCCAGACUCCUACGGGAGGCAGCAGUGGGGAAUAUUGGACAGUGGGCGCAAGCCUGAUACAGCCAUCCCGCGUGGGUGAAGAAGGCCUUCGGGUUGUAAAGACCUUUUGUUGGGAAAGAAAAGCAGCAGGUUAAUACCCCGCUGUUCUGACGGUACCCAAAGAAGAAGCACCGGCUAACUUCGUG
rnacentral:rRNA from 1 species